rnacentral:rRNA from 1 species
AUUGAACGCUGGCGGCAUGCCUUACACAUGCAAGUCGAACGGCAGCACGGGUGCUUGCACCUGGUGGCGAGUGGCGAACGGGUGAGUAAUACAUCGGAACAUGUCCUGUAGUGGGGGAUAGCCCGGCGAAAGCCGGAUUAAUACCGCAUACGAUCUACGGAUGAAAGCGGGGGACCUUCGGGCCUCGCGCUAUAGGGUUGGCCGAUGGCUGAUUAGCUAGUUGGUGGGGUAUAGGCCUACCAAGGCGACGAUCAGUAGCUGGUCUGAGAGGACGACCAGCCACCCUGGGACUGAGAAAGGGCCCAGACUCCUACGGGAGGCAGCAGUGGGGAAUUUUGGACAAUGGGCGAAAGCCUGAUACAGCAAUGCCGCGUGUGUGAAGAAGGCCUUCGGGUUGUAAAGCACUUUUGUCCGGAAAGAAAUCCUUGGCCCUAAUACGGUCGGGGGAUGACGGUACCGGAAGAAUAAGCACCGGCUAACUACGUG